rnacentral:rRNA from 1 species
UACGGAGGGUGCGAGCGUUGUCCGGAAUCACUGGGCGUAAAGGGCGCGUAGGCGGCCUGAUAAGUCGGGGGUGAAAUCCUGCGGCUUAACCGCAGGGCUGCCUUCUAAACUGUCAGGCUUGAGCACAGUAGAGGCAGGUGGAAUUCCCGGUGUAGCGGUGGAAUGCGUAGAGAUCGGGAAGAACACCGGUGGCGAAGGCGGGUCUCUGGGCCGAUACUGACGCUGAGGAGCGAAAGCGUGGGGAGCGAACAGG